rnacentral:rRNA from 1 species
UACAGAGGGGGCAAGCGUUGUUCGGAAUUACUGGGCGUAAAGGGCGCGUAGGCGGCCUUCUAAGUCGAACGUGAAACCCCCGGGCUCAACCCGGGAACUGCGUCCGAUACUGGAAGGCUUGAAUCCGGGAGAGGGAUGUGGAAUUCCAGGUGUAGCGGUGAAAUGCGUAGAUAUCUGGAGGAACACCGGUGGCGAAGGCGACAUCCUGGACCGGUAUUGACGCUGAGGCGCGAAAGCCAGGGGAGCAAACGGG